UGAGCAAAAGGCUUAUCUUGUAUAAACUUGUAGACCAUGGUGUGAAACCCAAUUUACAAUGGAAGUCUGGCAUACAGAUCUCCAGCAAUGAAAAUGAAAAGUAUUUAUUUUAUUGCUGGACUCCUUUUAAUGAUAGUUCAAGGCAGCUGGCAAAAUCCUCUUCAGGAUACAGAGGAGAAAUCAAGAUCAUUCAAAGCUUCCCAGUCUGAACCAUUAGAUGAAUCUAGGCAGCUGAAUGAAGUAAAGCGUCAUUCACAAGGCACAUUCACCAGUGACUACAGCAAGUACUUGGACAGCAGACGAGCUCAGGAUUUUGUGCAAUGGUUAAUGAGCACUAAAAGAAAUGGCCAACAAGGACAGGAGGACAAAGAGAAUGACAAAUUCCCGGAUCAGCUCUCAAGUAAUGCAAUUUCCAAGCGUCAUUCUGAAUUUGAGAGACAUGCUGAAGGCACCUACACCAGUGAUAUCACCUCUUAUUUGGAAGGUCAAGCUGCCAAAGAAUUCAUUGCUUGGUUAGUGAAUGGACGAGGAAGAAGAGAUUUCCCAGAAAAAGCUUUAAUGGCUGAAGAAAUGGGCCGAAGACAUGCGGAUGGCACCUUCACAAGUGAUAUCAACAAAAUCCUGGAUGAUAUGGCUGCCAAAGAGUUCCUAAAAUGGCUGAUUAACACAAAAGUUACUCAAAGAGACCUUUUGGGAGAAUACCAGUAAGAAUGCAGGAUAAAAAUGGGAUAAAUGAAAAUCUUCACUGCCUCAACUGCCAGCUACAAAGAGAUUCUGAAAUCUAUAUUGUCAUUUACAUUGGGUGUAACAAAGCUAUGUCACCUUGCAUGCCGGGAAAUAAUUGUAGUGUCAUUUAAUGUUGCCAAAGGAUUAUAUAUGGAAUACCUAUCAUCUAAGGGAUGGUUAUCAAAAUAGAUUUAACAUUAUGAAAGUUGCACUUCUUUAUAUUUUCCACUUAUUUGGACUGAAAUAGCUCCAUUUAUAUUUACUUAUGAAAUUAUUUUUCUAAAAAUUGACUUAUGCACGCAAAUGUUUCAAUCACCAGUUAUUAUCUAGGGGCUGGCAGCUGCAAAUGUCUGAAAAGUGAAUAUCCCUGUUGAUACCUUUGUUAUAAAAAGGCUAAGCUUUAAGAAUAUUAAACAAUAGCCUUAAAUAAAUUUUUUUCAAGCUUC
rnacentral:lncRNA from 1 species